rnacentral:rRNA from 1 species
UACAUGGGGUGCAAACGUUGCUCGGAAUUAUUGGGCGUAAAGCGCACGUAGGCGGUUCGUUAAGUCGGAUGUGAAAGCCCUCGGCUCAACUGAGGAAGUGCACCCGAAACUGGCGAGCUUGAGUACGAAAGAGGAUCGCGGAAUUCCCGGUGUAGAGGUGAAAUUCGUAGAUAUCGGGAGGAACACCGGUGGCGAAGGCGGCUCUCUGGACCGAUACUGACGCGUGAGGCGCGAAAGCGUGGGGAGCAAACAGG